ACUCUCCUCCUACUGACUACGUUUACUACGCCAGCCUUAUAGAUGAUUCAGAGUCUGCAGAACGCUGUCUUUCUACCUAGCCGAUUUCCCCCUAUGGAGGUCGGAGACGCCAGUUUCUCCUGUUCCACAUCGAGAUUUUCCUGACAAGCACCCUGGGGGACCCUAGAGGGCAGCAAUCCUGUCCUAUUCUUCUGUGUGUUCCUGUGCCCAGCCCAAGGCCCCCAGAUGGAAGCUGCACGGAGUGUUUACUGAUUGAAGGAACGAAUGGAGAAGGGGCUCAUCUCUUGCUAAUCUUGAAGACAGUGCACGUGCACUCACAUAAAAUAACUACUCCCUUCAGCUAUAUAGACGCAUUUGACGCCAUGUCAGUGGACAGCCCUACCAAAGCCAGAAGCAAAAAUUCCUCUGUGGAAAAGAUAUGCUGGGCCCUAAUUAGUGGCCCCGUAACCUGGACAAUAUAUCAAGGAAGAGGAGGGAGAGAAAAGAAAGACAGAUAGACAAGCACUUUGGAGUUCCUGAGGAGGUGAGCAGUAGUAAACUGUGGAUGGGAUGCUGGACCAGGCUGGAGGUCAAGAAAAGGUAUUUCAGCAGAGGGUUUCAAAUCCAAAGAGGAGUGCUGUAACUGAUCCUUCAACAGUCCAUUCUUCUCUUCUAUCAGACCAGCUCUCCUGGUGUAUGAGAAGACCAGUGAAUCCCAUGACCAUUGGCCCACUGCUUUACUUCCUGACUGUAAAGUGAGUUCCUUGGGCAGAAACAGUAUUGUAUGGGUUGUUCUGAUGGCACUUAUUAAGUCCACUGAUAGUGGUCCUGAUGGAAGCAUGAUGGAGAGAAAAUGCAUAUUCAACUCCAAUAUAAAUAUUUAUUCC
rnacentral:lncRNA from 1 species